rnacentral:siRNA from 1 species
CUGCAAACACAAUAAAAUUCGAGU